UACGUAGGGUGCAAGCGUUUGUCCGGAAUUAUUGGGCGUAAAGAGCUCGUAGGCGGUUCGUCGCGUCGGCUGUGAAAUCCCGAGGCUCAACCUCGGGUCUGCAGUCGAUACGAGCAAACUAGAGUGUUGCAGGGGAGACUGGAAUUCCUGGUGUAGCGGUGAAAUGCGCAGAUAUCAGGAGGAACACCGGUGGCGAAGGCGGGUCUCUGGGCAACAACUGACGCUGGAG
rnacentral:rRNA from 1 species